GUCUGCUGCUCCUCAGUUUCUGUCUUCUCCCUUGGCUGAUACUUAAUUUAUUAUUUACUUAGUUAAUGGUUGCCAUAUCUGGUUUUUCUAUUUUAGAUGAGGAAAAAUAGAAGAGGAAAAAAAGUGUUUACAGGGGACACUUUGCAGCUAGAAGGAAGCUGAGUGCAAGGCCCUGCCUAUGAAUGGGGAUGACUUCUGCUUCUUAAAAGGACUAUCACUUGCAACCUCAGCUCCCUCCAGCUAUAGACAAAGGCUAUCCUUGACUUCUUCAGCUUGUUCAGCACCACCUGAUCCACUGCUGAGUUUCCUAGGUGUCAGACAAUGCUGGAACCAAGAACCUCUGAGCACGUUUCAUCCUCUGGUUUUCCUGAAACUUUCAGUUACACCCUGAAGUUACUGGAAUCCAUGUUCUGUUCAAGUAACCACAUAGAAACUUAUCAUGGAGAUCAGCUGAGACCUCAUGGCAGAAAUCUCGUUUGAAACAACUGGAAAUUACUUCACCUUGGCUCAAGCCACAUCACAACAGAUACUUUCUCCUCCUUCUCCAGCCCUGCUGUGAGCCAAAGGCGUUUUCUGGGCUGCAACUUUCCUGUGCUGAAUGACCUUGAGCCUCUUGCUGCUGCCCUGUCUUUGCUUGGCUCAGCAUGUGCAUCCCUUGCUCUUUUAAAUAUGCCUGCAUGCUCACCUUUGCUGUCUUCCUUUUCCUCCACAGAUGAAGGUAUUGGUCCUUUGUCAGGAUUUGAGACUCCCACGUUUUAGCUCAUAAAUACCUAUAGCAAUUCUCCAUGCUUUUGACAGUGAGGAUUUUUUCACCUUAUUAAAAGAAUGUUGGUAUUGUCAAA
rnacentral:lncRNA from 1 species